GGCUCAGGAUGAACGCUGGCGGCGUGCUUAACACAUGCAAGUCGAACGAAGCAGUUAUCACGAUCCCUUCGGGGUGACGAUUACUGACUGAGUGGCGGACGGGUGAGUAACGCGUGGGUAACCUGCCUUGUACAGGGGGACAACAGUUGGAAACGACUGCUAAUACCGCAUAAGCGCACGGAAUCGCAUGAUUUUGUGUGAAAAGAUUUAUCGGUACAAGAUGGACCCGCGUCUGAUUAGCUAGUUGGUGAGGUAAUGGCCCACCAAGGCGACGAUCAGUAGCCGACCUGAGAGGGUGACCGGCCACAUUGGGACUGAGACACGGCCCAAACUCCUACGGGAGGCAGCAGUGGGGAAUAUUGCACAAUGGGCGCAAGCCUGAUGCAGCCGACGCCGCGUGAGCGAAGAAGUAUUUCGGUAUGUAAAGCUCUAUCAGCAGGGAAGAUAAUGACGGUACCUGACUAAGAAGCACCGGCUAAAUACGUGCCAGCAGCGGC
rnacentral:rRNA from 1 species